GGCGGCAGCGGCAGCGGCUCUGCGGGCAUGAGUGCAGUGCGUGCUUCGCUGUCUCUGCUGUGAGGCAGUGUAAACAAGUCCCAGCAGAAUUGCUGAAAUUACCUCUGAGUGAUAUAUUCAAGCACUGCGAAGAGCGGAGCCAACGACACGGGAGCAGAGAGAGCUGAGAGUGCGUCCUCAGUCAUAGCGCACGGACAAUGAGAGUUCGGAUCUGACCUAAAACACAUGGAUUGCACUGAGAAGCCACUUAGAGAUGUCUGUCGUCCAACUUGGAACUCUCAUCCUGGGUCGGAUAUCCUCAGCAGGUGUGAGCUGGCACAGCUUCAUCUCUGCACAACGCUGCAGCGCCAGGUUACUUGAAGUCUUCUAAAACAACAGCAAAAUUCCUGCUGAACUCACUAUAGUUAUGAGUGUUUGUAUUGUGAUAGUGCAUUGCACGGUGUGUGGUCCCCGACUGUACAGCCUGCAGUCCCUGACAGGGGUCUCCUCUGUAUAUAACAGGACCAAGUUUUCACCUCUUGUGGGAAUCUGAUUCUGAUACAUACUUUGACUUAUCCUAUCUUAUUGAGGUAAGAAAAAAUUUUGCUACUGACUGAAUGGAAACCAGGUCUGGAGCAGGUGAAGGGAAGCUGUGCAAGUGUUUUGUGAGCGCUUCGGUAGAAACUGUCUUUGCAGAAGACCAAAUACCAUUUCCAUCUAAUGUUUUUACUGUAACACUUUUAAACUCAAAAUGAUGUAGCGUCUUCUCAUCAUUAAUUUGCUCUUGAGCCCUGCAGGUUCAUUUGUUUUGUUUUGCCUUGCCUUGCCUAUAUCAACUUUUAAUGCUUUGCACUGAGCUCCCAUAGUGAGCUCUCUUGAACACCUCAGGGUUUACUCAUGCUCUGGAUGUGGCUGUAUUUUGUCUGCAGUAAAAGGUAAGUGUUGAAUGCUGUGGAAACAGAUCUGCAGUUUGCCUGGGAAAUACUGGAGGAUGUGUGUUCCCCAUUUUUAAUAGCAUUUAUACUCGUGGUUUCACUACUAAAACUAGGAGAGGAGUUGUCCGAGGACAGGGGAAGCUGCUUUUUCUCGAUUCUCCUAGACAGGGACCGUGUGUCUUUCCAGCCUGAAGAUUUGGGAACUGGGUGGUUCCUGCCUUCCCCUGUGGGGGCUGGGGAUGUGCUGGCAGAGCUGGCUCCAGGCAGACGUCCUGGUUGAGCCUCAGCUCUGCCUGGUCGGCGUGGCAAGGCUCUGCCCUGGAGCCGGUGGGACGGGGCUGUGGCUUGUGCUGGCGCUGGGUCAGUUCCAACCCACCGGCAUUGCAGCCGGUCUGCCUGCGAGGGAAGUGCCGAUGGUUGUCUCCAUUCACGGCAGAAACCCUCUCAUUGAUGCGGCUGAUAUUUCUGAAUAGUGAGCUGUGAAAAAAGAAAGAUAGCGCGUGACUAAGCAGGCGCUUUGCUGCAUGGCAGGCAGUUCUGGUGGGGCUGCCGCCUGACGCGCUCCGAGACGUACCUAGACAUCCAAAUCGCCUCUUUUUAAGAAGGCCAAAUGCUCUUCCAGUUAUUGUUCUGGGAAGCUCAUGUCACCGGGCGUAUAGUUCAUUUUGUUUGGAAUUUCAGGGUCAGACAUAAGUGUUGUUAUCCACCUCGGAGGAAAAGCUUUAGAAA